rnacentral:rRNA from 1 species
UACGAAGGUGGCUAGCGUUGUUCGGAUUUACUGGGCGUAAAGCGCACGUAGGCGGAUCGUUAAGUCGGGGGUGAAAUCCUGGAGCUCAACUCCAGAACUGCCUUCGAUACUGGCGAUCUUGAGUCCGGAAGAGGUGAGUGGAACUCCUAGUGUAGAGGUGGAAUUCGUAGAUAUUAGGAAGAACACCAGUGGCGAAGGCGGCUCACUGGACUGGUAUUGACGCUGAGGUGCGAAAGCGUGGGGAGCAAACAGG